GGAAGGAUCAUUAUUGAUUCAAGAGGGAUGCGCUGGCUCUCUUGUAGAGCAAUUGUGCGCUCUCUCUCAAAUCUCACUCUAUUCACCUGUGCACACUUGGUAGGCAAAUAGAAAAGGAAACUUAGUUUCCAUCUUUUGCUUAUUGCCUUUUUACACACACUAUUGAAUGUCAUGAAUGUAAUUGAAAUAAAUGUAACAACUUUCAACAAUGGAUCUCUUGGUUCUCGCAUCGAUGAAGAACGCAGCGAAUUGCGAUAUGUAAUGUGAAUUGCAGAAUUCAGUGAAUCAUCGAAUCUUUGAACGCAUAUUGCACCCUCUGGGUAUUCCAGAGGGUAUGCCUGUUUGAGUGUCAUUCUUAUCUCAAGGCAAAGGGAGCUUUUUGUUUCCUUUGCAUUUGGAUGUUGAAGGAUUUGCUGGCCCCUCAUGCUAGCUCCUUUUAAAUGCAUUAGCAGGACUUUGCAGGACUAGCUUCAGUUUGAUACAUUUUGGUUAUCUGAGCUGUUGCAAGGAAUUGCAUCAUGGUCUUGCUUCAUAAACUGUCCCACUUUGCGGGACUUGUCUUCUGGACAAAUUAUAUCAAACUUGACCUCAAAUCAGGUAGGACUACCCGCUGAACUUAAGCAUAUCAAUAAGCGGAGGAAAAGAAACUAACAAGGAUUCCCCUAGUAACUGCGAGUGAAGAGGGAAAAGCUCAAAUUUAAAAUCUGGCAGUUCUAUUGGCUGUCCGAGUUGUAAAUUGGAGAAGUGUUAUCCGCGUUGGCCUGUGCAAAAGUCCCUUGGAAAAGGGCAUCAUAGAGGGUGACAAUCCCGUCUUUGGCACAGUACACCAAGGCAUUUGUGAUGCACUUUCAACGAGUCGAGUUGUUUGGGAAUGCAGCUCUAAAUGGGUGGUAAAUUCCAUCUAAAGCUAAAUAUUGGCGAGAAACCGAUAGUGCACAAGUACCGUGAGGGAAAGAUGAAAAGAACUUUGGAAAGAGAGUUAAACAGUACGUGAAAUUGUUGAAAGGGAAACGCUUGAAGUCAGUCAUGUCUCACUGAAAUCAACCUGACAAUAUUUUGUUUGGUGUACUUUCUGUGAGACAGGUCAGCAUCAGUUCUGAUCAUUGGAAAAAGGCCUAGGGAAUGUGGCAUCUUUUUAAGAUGUGUUAUAGCCCUUGGACCACAUACAGUGGUUGGGACUGAGGAACUCGAUGUAUGAUCAGCUUUGAGGCACUCGGUCUUGAAGCCAUGCAUUCCAGGAUGCUGGCAUAAUGGCUUUAAUCGACCCGUCUUGAAACACGGACCAAGGAGUCUAACAUGCAUGCGAGUGUUUGGGUGGAAAACCCAAGCGCGCAAUGAAAGUGAAAGUUGAGAACCCUGUUACAAGGGGUGCAUUGACACCCGGUCUUGAUCUUUUAGUGACAGACCUGCGGUAGAGCAUGUAUGUUGGGACCCGAAAGAUGGUGAACUAUGCCUGAAUAGGGUGAAGCCAGAGGAAACUCUGGUGGAAGCUCGUAGCGAUUCUGACGUGCAAAUCGAUCGUCGAAUUUGGGUAUAGGGGCGAAAGACUAAUCGAACCAUCUAGUAGCUGGUUCCCGC
rnacentral:misc_RNA from 1 species